rnacentral:lncRNA from 1 species
UAUUCCUUCAGGUUGGAGUUCAGCUGAUGGGAAAAGUGAAAAAGCUAAAAGUGCACCUUCAAGAGACCCAGAAAAACUUCAGAAAAUCAAAGAAAGCCUCCUCUUAGAGGACUCUGAUGAAGAAGAAGAAGGGGACUUAUGUAGAAUUUGCCAGAUGGCAGCAGCGUCAUCAUCUAAUUUAUUGAUAGAGCCAUGCAAAUGCACUGGGAGUCUGCAGUAUGUCCAUCAAGAGUGUAUGAAGAAGUGGUUACAGGCCAAAAUUAAUUCUGGUUCUUCAUUAGAGGCUGUAACCACCUGUGAACUCUGUAAAGAGAAGUUGCAACUUAACCUGGAGGAUUUUGAUAUUCAUGAACUACAUAGAGCUCAUGCAAAUGAACAAGUUAGUAUAUUUUGCCUAAUUUGGUAAGUGUCUGUUGUGUGCUUAAAGGACAGCUCUUGAAGAAAAGAUUAAGUCAUGGUCAGAAAACCUAAAUUAAAAAUAUUCUUACUAUAAUUUGUAAGAUGAGAAGUUUAUAAUUUCAUUAGAAAAUUCUCUUUAAAUAAAAGAUUAAGAUAAACUGUCAGGCUUCAUAAAUAAACCUAAAAAUUUGGAAAUUGGGCUCAAAGUAGGCAUUGCCAACCUUAUCUCUCCAGUACUGGUUGAAUGAUCUGGUUGGAAGAAACAACCUUGGUUUUUUGGGGUUUUUUUCCUUGUUGAGGGAAUUCUGAGAGAAGCAUACAUGUUCAAGGGAAGUAUGAGGAUGAUUUCAUCCCAACAAAAAUAAAUCCACUAAGCGAUUCCUUGCUUGCUUCUCUCAGUCACCUGCCAAUGCUGUUCCGUUGUUGGGUGGGUGGGUGGU